CACCACCUCCACAGGCUUCCAUGUUCCCGCCAAUGCCAUUGCCUCCACCACAAUCAUGGCAGGGUCAACAACCACCAGGUCAAACUGCCUUACCUCCACCUCCAAUGCAGCAGUUCAGGAGCAUGCCGCCUCCACCUCCACAAAUUGCUCCAGCUUUACCAAGGCCUCCACCACCACCAGUAGGCAUGGUGACUGCUCCAAAUGUGUGGCGGCCACCACCACCUCCUCAGCAGUUAGGUGGUGGGCCCCCAUCUAUGCCACCACAUCUGCCACCCCCUCCUCCGGGCAAUUUUCCCCCACCUCCCCCUCCUUCAUAGAAGCU
rnacentral:lncRNA from 1 species